GGAGGGGUGCGAGCGUUAAUCGGAAUUACCGGGCGUAAAGGGUACGUAGGCGGUUUUAUAAGUCAGAUGUGAAAUCCCCGGGGGCUUAACCUGGGGAACUGCAUUUGAAACUGUAUAACUAGAGUGAGUGAGAGGUUAGUGGAAUUCAAGGCGUAGCGGUGAAAUGCGUAGAGGUCUUGAGGAACAUCAGUGGCGAAGGCGGCUAACUGGCACUACACUGACGCUGAGGUACGAAAGCGUGGGGAGCGAACAGGAUUAGAUACCCUGGUAGUCCACGCCCUAAACGAUGAGGACUGGCUGUUGGCGCUAUAGACGCGUCGGUAGCGAAGCUAACGCGUUAAGUUCUCCGCCUGGGGAGUACGGCCGCAAAGGCUG
rnacentral:rRNA from 1 species